rnacentral:rRNA from 1 species
GCAUAGUGGCGGACGGGUGAGGAAUGGAAGGAUAACGUACCCGGGACUCGGGGAUAGCGGCAGGGGCAACCCUUUGCGAAAGCGCCGGUAAUACCCGAUGACCCCGCGAGGUCGCAUGGCCUUGCGGGCAAAGCUCCGACGGUCCCGGAUCGGUCCUUUCCCUAUCAGCUAGUUGGUGAGGUAACGGCUCACCAAGGCUUCGACGGGUACCGGGUGUGAGAGCAUGACCCGGCACAUCGGAACUGAGACACUGUCCGGACACCUACGGGUGGCUGCAGCAACGAAUCUUCCGCAAUGGGCGCAAGCCUGACGGAGCGACGCCGCGUGCAGGAGGAAGUCCUUCGGGAUGUAAACUGCUGUCAGGGGUCAGAAACACAAUGAUCGGCCCCGGAGGAAGCCCCGGCUAACUUCGUGCCAGCAGCCGCGGUAAUACGUAGGGGGCAAGCGUUGAUCGGAAUCACUGGGCUUACAGCGCGUGUAGGCGGGGCGGCAGGUCUUCUGUGAAAAGCCCCCGGCUCAACCGGGGAAUUGCAGGGGAAACCGCCG